rnacentral:pre_miRNA from 1 species
AAGCUUUUGGCUCGGGUUAUAUUUUAAAAUGGCAGCGUAUAAGACGAGCAAAAAGCUUGU